rnacentral:rRNA from 1 species
GAUGAACGCUGGCGGCGUGCCUAAUACAUGCAAGUCGAGCGAACGGACGAGAAGCUUGCUUCUCUGAUGUUAGCGGCGGACGGGUGAGUAACACGUGGAUAACCUACCUAUAAGACUGGGAUAACUUCGGGAAACCGGAGCUAAUACCGGAUGAUAUUUUGAACCGCAUGGUUCAAAAGUGAAAGACGGUCUUGCUGUCACUUAUAGAUGGAUCCGCGCUGCAUUAGCUAGUUGGUAAGGUAACGGCUUACCAAGGCAACGAUGGAUAGCCGACCUGAGAGGGUCGUUCGGCACCCUGGAACUGAGACACGGCCGACACUCUUACGGGAGGCAGCAGUAGGGAAUCUUACGCGAGGGGGGAAAGCCUGACGGUGCAACGUCGCGUGAGGGAUGACGGACUUCGGAUCGUAAAACUCUGUUAUCAGGGAAGAAGAUAUGUGUUAGUAACUGUGCACAUCUUGACGGUACCUAAUCAGAAAGCCACGGCUAACUACGUG